rnacentral:rRNA from 1 species
GACGUAGGGCGCGAGCGUUGUCCGGAUUUAUUGGGCGUAAAGAGCUCGUAGGCGGCUUGUCGCGUCGUCUGUGAAAUCCCGCGGCUCAACUGCGGGCUGCAGUCGAUACGGGCAGGCUGGAGUUCGGUAGGGGAGACUGGAAUUCCUGGUGUAGCGGAUGAAAUGCGCAGAUAUCAGGAGGAACACCGGUGGCGAAGGCGGGUCUCUGGGCCGAUACUGACGCUGAGGAGCGAAAGCGUGGGGAGCGAACAGG